rnacentral:rRNA from 1 species
UUCCAGACUCCUACGGGAGGCAGCAGUGAGGAAUAUUGGUCAAUGGCCGAGAGGCUGAACCAGCCAAGUCGCGUGAGGGAAGAAUGUCCUAUGGAUUGUAAACCUCUUUUGUCAGGGAGCAAAGUCACCCACGUGUGGGUGUUGGAGAGUACCUGAAGAAAAAGCAUCGGCUAACUCCGUGCCAGCAGCCGCGGUAAUACGGAGGAUGCGAGCGUUAUCCGGAUUUAUUGGGUUUAAAGGGUGCGUAGGCGGGUUAUCAAGACAGCGGUAAAAUCGUGGAGCUCAACUCCAUCCAGCCGUUGAAACUGAUGAUCUUGAGUGUGCGAGAAGUAUGCGGAAUGCGUGGUGU